rnacentral:rRNA from 1 species
UCUUGGAUUUAUUGAAGACUAACUACUGCGAAAGCAUUUGCCAAGGAUGUUUUCCCCCUNNUAAGNACGAAAGUUAGGGGAUCGAAGACGAUCAGAUACCCCUUNUANUCUUAACCAUAAACUAUGCCGACUAGGGAUCGGAUGAUGUUAAUUUUUUAAUGACUCA